AAACCGCCGGUUUUUCCGGUAAGGAUGGAAAGGCGAGGUAAGAGCUCACCGGCGUGCAGGAGACUGCACGGCCAUGUAAACCCUAUCCGAAGCAACACCGACCGAAUGCUUUUUUGCGCGUCAGCUGGGCGUAUAUUCAACGGGUGGCUUGAGCGUACAGGCAACUGUGCGUCGAGAAAGAUGAUUGCCUUAAAAGACAGAACUCGGCUUACAGAUUUACUCAUUAA
rnacentral:RNase_P_RNA from 1 species